rnacentral:misc_RNA from 1 species
GAUUACUAUGGAGGAGAGUUGAUUCGCAAGAGUCCUCACCUCUGUAACUUACACCCUGUGCACUAUAUUGUAUUUUGGGUUGAUAAGUGCUUAGUACUCUCGGGUAUUACUUACUGUCGGCCCAAUCAUGAAAAAGACCAUUAGAAUUCGUCUGAAAUUUUUAUUUAUAAUAAUAAACAACUUUUGACAACGGAUCUCUUGGCUCU